GACGAACGCUGGCGGCGUGCUUAACACAUGCAAGUCGAACGGAAAGGCCCUGCUUUUGUGGGGUGCUCGAGUGGCGAACGGGUGAGUAACACGUGAGUAACCUGCCCUUGACUUUGGGAUAACUUCAGGAAACUGGGGCUAAUACCGGAUAGGAGCUCCUGCUGCAUGGUGGGGGUUGGAAAGUUUCGGCGGUUGGGGAUGGACUCGCGGCUUAUCAGCUUGUUGGUGGGGUAGUGGCUUACCAAGGCUUUGACGGGUAGCCGGCCUGAGAGGGUGACCGGCGACAUUGGGACUGAGAUAGGGCCCAGACGCCUACGGGAGGCAGCAGUGGGGAAUAUUGCACAAUGGGCGGAAGCCUGAUGCAGCAGCGCCGCGUGCGGGAUGACGGCCUUCGGGUGGUAAACCGCUUUCGCCUGUGACGAAGCGUGAGUGACGGUAAUGGGUAAAGAAGCACCGGCUAACUUCGUG
rnacentral:rRNA from 1 species